GGCUACGAGAACGAACGCUGGCGGCAGGCUUAACACAUGCAAGUCGAGCGCCCCGCAAGGGGAGCGGCAGACGGGUGAGUAACGCGUGGGAACGUGCCCUUUGGUUCGGAACAACUCCGGGAAACUGGAGCUAAUACCGGAUAAGCCCUUCGGGGGAAAGAUUUAUCGCCAAAGGAUCGGCCCGCGUCUGAUUAGCUAGUUGGUGAGGUAAUGGCUCACCAAGGCGACGAUCAGUAGCUGGUCUGAGAGGAUGAUCAGCCACACUGGGACUGAGACACGGCCCAGACUCCUACGGGAGGCAGCAGUGGGGAAUAUUGGACAAUGGGCGCAAGCCUGAUCCAGCCAUGCCGCGUGAGUGAUGAAGGCCUUAGGGUUGUAAAGCUCUUUUGUCCGGGAAGAUAAUGACUGUACCGGAAGAAUAAGCCCCGGCUAACUUCGUG
rnacentral:rRNA from 1 species